GAUUAGGCCAUGCGAGUCUAAGGUUUCUUCGGAAACCUUGGCGGACUGCUCAGUAACACGUGGAUAACCUACCCUUGGGACUGGGAUAACCCCGGGAAACUGGGGAUAAUACCGGAUAGAUCAGGGAUGCUGGAAUGCGCCUUGAUCCAAAGCUCCGGCGCCCAAGGAUGGGUCUGCGGCCUAUCAGGUUGUAGUGGGUGUAACGUACCUACUAGCCGACGACGGGUACGGGUUGUGAGAGCAAGAGCCCGGAGAUGGAUUCUGAGACACGAAUCCAGGCCCUACGGGGUGCAGCAGGCGCGAAACCUUUACAAUGUGCGAAAGCAUGAUAAGGGAACUCCGAGUGCCAGCAUCUAAUGCUGGCUGUCCUUGUGCCUAAAACGCACAAGAUAGCAAGGGCCGGGUAAGACCGGUGCCAGCCGCCGCGGUAACACCGGCGGCCCGAGUGGUAGCCGCUAUUAUUGGGUCUAAAGGGUCCGUAGCCGGUUCGAUAAGUCCUCUGGGAAAUCUGGUUGCUUAACAAUCAGACUGCCAAGGGAUACUGUCGAACUUGAGACCGGGAGAGGUAAGAGGUACUUCAGGGGUAGGAGUGAAAUCUUGUAAUCCCUGGGGGACCAUCUGUGGCGAAGGCGUCUUACCAGAACGGGUCUGACGGUGAGGGACGAAAGCUGGGGGCGCAAACCGGAUUAGAUACCCGGGUAGUCCCAGCCGUAAACGAUGCUCGCUAUGUGUCAGGUACGGUGUGACCGUAUCUGGUGCCGUAGGGAAGCCGUGAAGCGAGCCACCUGGGAAGUACGGUCGCAAGACUGAAACUUAAAGGAAAUAGGCGGGGGAGCACUACAACGG
rnacentral:rRNA from 1 species